rnacentral:rRNA from 1 species
GUGCCAGCCGCCGCGGUAAGACAGAGGGUGCAAACGUUGUUCGGAAUUACUGGGCGUAAAGCGCGUGUAGGCUGCUUCGCAAGUCGGAUGUGAAAGCCCUGGGCUCAACCCAGGAAGUGCAUUCGAAACUGCAGAGCUGGAGUCCUGGAGAGGAAGGCGGAAUUCUCGGUGUAGAGGUGAAAUUCGUAGAUAUCGAGAGGAACACCGGUGGCGAAGGCGGCCUUCUGGACAGUGACUGACGCUGAGACGCGAAAGCGUGGGGAGCAAACAGGAUUAGAUACCCGGGUAGUCC